rnacentral:lncRNA from 1 species
UGAGUUAUUACAAUUUAUUACAAACCAAAGUUAAUAAAGAAAAUUACAUCAGAAAUCAAACUACAACAAAAGAUCCUAAUUCAAACUCAAGGUCUAAAAUAUAAGAUGAACCAACUCCGCAUAUCAGGAUUUUCCAAAGCCUUUCUCUCAGUUGAGGUGUAUUAAAAUUCCUAAGAGACUCAAAGGGGGACUCAGGGCAGUGCUUACAACCCAAAUACAUUGCAGAAUAAGAUUAUAGAGCCGUAUGGAAGGGCCAACCUUCAAAUGUCCAAGUUCAAAGGGAACUCGAGGUCCCAAGGCAAGGCUCAUAGGAGGGGAGCAAAACUUAGAGUCUAAAAAUAAGUGUAAGUACAUAGACUGAGUUAGGGGAGGCCAUGGCAUGCUUGGUGGUCAUGUCCAGUAACUAGGCAUGCUCGCACAUCCCUAACCAGCCUAUUGGCUAAGUUUGGGAGCUAGGACCCAUUGAGGGUCGGUUCAGACCUGAGCUGUAAUUUGGAUACUACCAGGCUUUGAACCUUGACUCAAAACAAAUAGAGGGGAAUAUGGAUGUAGGAAUUCAUCAUAGAAAUCGGUACAAGGAAAAUAACAUACAAGUCUAUCACUGAGCAAGAAUGGCAAACAAGAUUGCAGAAGCUGUAAAUAAACAUAUUGGGGUGAUGGUUGAAGCUGAAUCAGAACAUACCAAUUGCAGGGGAAACAAACAAGUAAAGUAGAAGUCUUGUAGACCCAAAUUGCAAGCAAGCAGUAUGAGAGAUCUCAGAUGAAAGUAGAUAGUAGUUUAUAUAAGAAUAUAUGUAUUGGAUUGAAAGUUCCUAGUUGUUGUAAUUGCAGAAGCGUUGUGCCACUUUUAUAGUGCAAAGGACAAGUAAGCAAAGGUAAGAAAAUAAUUUGCAAUCAAUCAUGCAAAGUCUCCCUUUAGUUAAGGGAUUUUGAUUUCAAAUGGGUAGAAGAAAUCUAAGGAAAGAGUUUGAUUAAAAUCAUUUCCAAAGUAACAUAGGAAGGGUAAAUACAUAGGAGUUAAUUAAGGCAACAUCCAAUGGUACACAGUUGGUAAACAGAAAAAGGAAAGGGGAUCAAUCAAAGGACUAGCAAAAUUAAAAUUAUAGGCUUAACUCAAAUGGACCAAGUCAGAAAUAUGUAAAGAGGGUUCAAUUAGAGAAAAUCAGUAACAAUCAAUCAAACCCCCAUUAGAGGAUUUCAGAAUCAAUUGAUUAGUUGGUAAAACCUUUUGAAAGAGGAGUUCUUAUAUUAAAAGCACACAAAUAUGUGAAUACAGAAGAAACUGUCAUGCUAAUUAGAAAAUACAGGCAUGAGAAAAAGAGACAAAAGAAAAUUCAAAGUCACAUUAAGAGACUCACAAUCAGUUCAUAAACUCAGAAUGAGUCUGAUAGUCCAAAGUAGAACCCAAACACGAAAUCAAACUUAACCAAAAGGAAACCCCAAAUCCUAGGGUUUCCACUUGAAUUAGAUAAACAUACAAGAAGGCAAGCCACUGAUAAGGGCUCAGUCAAAAGUCUCUUUUCAGAGACUUAUGUUUUGAAAAUCGUUCAGAAACCCUAAUUUGAAGACAAACAAUUUAAAAAUGAAACUUCUGGGAAAAAAACACUUUGAAAGUUAAGUAAAGCACCAAUACAUCACAGAUGUAGAAAAAUAAAUAGAGAAAAAAACCUCGAACAGCUUAGGGUUUCAGAGAAACUCUAAAAAUGAGAAAGGCUUGGAAAAGUGAGAUCCUGGGAUUGGAUGAGCGAGAAUUCGCUCCUGAAACUUGAAUAUGCCAGAGCACAAGCCGGAGAGGCCAUAGAACCCUAGAUCUAUAGGAUCUGAAGGGAACCAUCGAGGUCAAGGCCUUGAUUAUUCAAAUAUCGAACAUACAGGAGUGAUAGGGAGUGAGUAUGAGGUUAUCAUGACCGGAGAAGCCAUGAUUUGUGGUAAGAUUGAGGCAAGAGACUGUGAGAGAGGCUAGGGUUUCGAAGACCCUUGAGAGAGUUUUGAG